UACGUAGGGGGCGAGCGUUGUCCGGAUUUAUUGGGCGUAAAGAGCGUGUAGGCGGCUAUACAGGUCCGCUGUGAAAACUCGAGGCUCAACCUCGAGACGUCGGUGGAAACCGUAUGGCUAGAGUCCGGAAGAGGAGAGUGGAAUUCCUGGUGUAGCGGUGAAAUGCGCAGAUAUCAGGAAGAACACCCGUGGCGAAGGCGGCUCUCUGGGACGGUACUGACGCUGAGACGCGAAAGCGUGGGGAGCGAACAGG
rnacentral:rRNA from 1 species